CUCAUCUAUACCCAGAGAAUCAGAGUGAUGUCGUUAGGUUGUGACUCAUCUAUACCCAAAGAAUCAGAGUGAUGUCGUUAGGUUGUGACUCAUCUAUACCCAGAGAAUCAGAGUGAUGACUUUAUGUUGUGACUCAUCUAUACCCAGAGAAUCAGAGUGAUGUCGUUAGGUUGUGACUCAUCUAUACCCAGAGAAUCAGAGUGAUGUUGUUAGGUUGUGACUCAUCUAUACCCGGAGAAUCAGAGUGAUGUCGUUAGGUUGUGACUCAGCUGUAUCCAGAGAAUCAGAGUGAUGUUGUUAGGUUGUGACUCAGCUGUAUCCAGAGAAUCAGAGUGAUGUUGUUAGGUUGUGACUCAGCUGUAUCCAGAGAGUCAGAGUGAUGUCGUUAGGUUGUGACUCAUCUAUACCCAGAGAAUCAGAGUGAUGACUUUAUGUUGUGACUCAUCUAUACCCAGAGAAUCAGAGUGAUGUCGUUAGGUUGUGACUCAUCUAUACCCAGAGAAUCAGAGUGAUGUUGUUAGGUUGUGACUCAUCUAUA
rnacentral:lncRNA from 1 species